UAGUCAUAUGCUUGUCUCAAAGAUUAAGCCAUGCAUGUCCAAGUAUAAACCUUUAUAUGGUGAAACUGCGAAAGGCUCAUUAAAUCAGUUAUAGUUUAUUUGAUAGUACCUUGCUACAUGGAUAACCGUGGUAAUUCUAGAGCUAAUACAUGCGCAAAGGCCCUUUGGGGCUGUAGUUAUUAGAUAAGGCCAACCCGGGCAACCGGCGGGUGGUGAUUCAUGGUAACGCUACGAAUCGCUUGCGAUGGGUCAUUCAAAUUUCUGCCCUAUCAACUGUG
rnacentral:rRNA from 1 species